UCCCAUACAAUCACUGAAGUUAAGCAACAUCAAGCUGGGUCAGUACCUAGAUGGGUGACCGCUUGGGAAUAUCAGGUGCUGUAA